CCUACGGGGGGCAGCAGUGAGGAAUAUUGGUCAAUGGGCGCGAGCCUGAACCAGCCAAGUCGCGUGAGGGAGGACGGCCCUACGGGUUGUAAACCUCUUUUGCCGGGGAGCAACGGGCGCAACGUGUGGCGUCACUGAGAGUACCCGGAGAAAAAGCAUCGGCUAACCCCGUGCCAGCAGCCGGGGUAAUACGGAGAAAGCGAGCGUUAAACGGAUUUAUUUGGUUAAAAGGGUGCGUGGGCGGUUCGUUAAGUCAGUGGUCAAAUUGAGGGUCUCAACCCCUUCCCGCCAUGGAAACUGGCGUUCUUGAGUGGAAGAGAAGUAUGCGGAAUGCGUGGUGUAGCGGUGAAAUGCAUAGAUAUCACGCAGAACCCCGAUUGCGAAGGCAGCAUGCCGGCUUCCGACUGACGCUGAAGCACGAAAGCGUGGGGAUCGAACAGGAUUAGAUACCCUGGUAGUC
rnacentral:rRNA from 1 species